rnacentral:misc_RNA from 1 species
GAUGAAGAACGUAGCGAAAUGCGAUAAGUAGUGUGAAUUGCAGAAUUCAGUGAAUCAUCGAAUCUUUGAACGCACAUUGCGCCCUUCGGUAUUCCGUUGGGCAUGCCUGUUCGAGCGUCAUUUAAACCUUCAAGCUCUGCUUGGUGUUGGGUGUUUGUUCCGCCUGCGCGCGCGGACUCGCCUCAAAUUCAUUGGCAGCCGGUAUGUUGGCUUCGUGCACAGCACAUUGUGUCGCGACUCCAGCCUGCCUCCUUCCAUCCAGCCCCCCUAUUACUUUGGCCUCGGAUCAGGUAGGGAUACCCGCUGAACUUAAGCAUAUCAAUAAGCGGAGGA